GGACGAACGCUGGCGGCGUGCCUAACACAUGCAAGUCGAGCGGAGUAUGUAGCAAUAUAUACUUAGCGGCGGACGGGUGAGUAACACGUGGGUAACCUGACCUACAGAGGGGGAUAGCCAUCCGAAAGGGUGAUUAAUACCGCAUAAACCGUAGCGUACGCAUGUACGAAACGGCAAAGAGAUAUCGCUGUAGGAGGGGCCCGCGGCCCAUUAGCUGGUUGGAGAGGUAAAGGCUCACCAAGGCGACGAUGGGUAGCCGAUCUGAGAGGAUGACCGGCCACAUUGGAGCUGAGACACGGUCCAGACUCCUACGGGAGGCAGCAGUGGGGAAUAUUGCGCAAUGGGGGGAACCCUGACGCAGCAACGCCGCGUGGAGGAAGAAGGCCUUCGGGUCGUAAACUCCUGUCUUUUGGGACGAAAGGAUGACGGUACCAAAGGAGGAAGCCACGGCUAACUACGUGCCAGCAGCCGCGGUAAUACGUAGGUGGCAAGCGUUGUCCGGAAUUACUGGGCGUAAAGGGUGCGUAGGCGGUAUAUUAAGUCAGAUGUGAAAACCCAGGGCUCAACUCUGGGAGUGCAUUUGAAACUGGUAUACUGGAGUGCAGGAGAGGGAAGCGGAAUUCCUGGUGUAGCGGUGAAAUGCGUAGAUAUCAGGAAGAACACCAGUGGCGAAGGCGGCUUUCUGGACUGUAACUGACGCUGAGGCACGAAAGCGUGGGGAGCAAACAGGAUUAGAUACCCUGGUAGUCCACGCUGUAAACGAUGAGUGUUAGGUGUAGGGGGGGGGAGAAAGUCCCUUUCUGUGCCCGCAGUAAAACGCCAAUAAAACACCUCCGCCUGGGGGAGUACGGUCGCAAAGACUAAAACUCAAAGGAAUUGACGGGGGGGCCCGCACAAAGCAGCGGAGCCAUGUGGUUUAAUUUCGAAAGCAACGCGAAGAACCCUUACCCAGGGCUUGACAUCUAACGGACUUUAGUAGAGAUACUAAGGUGCUCUUUCGAGGAACGUUAAGACAGGUGGUGCAUGGUUGUCGUCAGCUCGUGUCGUGAGAUGUUGGGUUUAAAGUUCCCGCAAACGAGCGCAAACCCCUUUGUUUAUUAGUUGCCCAGCCAGUAAAGGGAUGGGGCCACUUCUAAUAAAGACUGCCCGGGGGUUAAACUCGGGAGGGAAAGGGUGGGGGAUGACGUCAAAAUUCAUCCAUGCCCCUCUUAUGUUCCUGGGGCUACCACCACGUGCUACCAAUGGGCUUUAAAACCAAAAGUGAAACCCGAAAUCCCGUUAAGGAAGGAAGGGGAAAACCACGAAAAUUAAAAGUUCUCAGUUUCGGAUUGAAGGGGCUGCGAACCCCCGCCCCCUCAUGAAAGCUGGA
rnacentral:rRNA from 1 species